AUUCCCCAUGAUGGUGGGACAUUAUGUUCCCUUGUCUCCCCUUAGAGGGGAGGGGUGGAACUAUUGAGGAGUUUAUGUGAGACAGCAUCAAAAUUCUCUGAUUCAAUAGAGUCAGCAAGAUCCGGGUGACCAGAAUAAUCAGCUUAAGGGGAAGUUUCGUAGGUUUGUGAAGACAGAUUCUCGUCACUUAGUUUUCAGAGCUGAGCCAACUGAUUCAGUGGUCUCCCUCUCUCCCUAUACUUUGAACCAAGACUCUUCUUUAGACUUAGGUUCUCUAGCUUCUAUUCUCAGGGUACGUAGAUCCACCCGUCUUUAUUUUCCUAUUCAUAGGUUUGUAUCAACUAAGUCUCUAUCUACUUCCUACAAGUAUUUUUUGUAAUUUCAUCCAUCGUUUUUAACCUGAUACCUUUGCAGAGGCCAUAUCUCAACCCUGCUGGCAGCUCUAUACAGAAAGAGAUCGUAGCACUAGAAUGGUUUGCUACUUGGGAUUGAGUCUCUCUUCCUCUAGAGAAAGAAGCCAUUGGCUACAAGUGGGUCUAUAAAGUCAACAAAAAGCUGAUGGAGCAGUUGAGGGGUUGAAGGCUAGAUUGGUGGCCAAAGGAUACACACAAGAAUAUUGAGUCGAACCCCUUUCCAACCAGUCAAGUGGCCCAAGGGCCACCUCUUCUGUGACAGCUAUUUCCUCGUUUGGGAAGCAAUUCUUAAACUCAUGUUCCUCCUUGAUUUGAUAGGGUGCAAGGUGUUCUGCUAUCGACCUUCCUUUUUGGUUACAUACAUGAUGUCGAAUUCAGACAAAAGCAGUAACCAUCUUGCGGUCCUUCUCGUUACGUUAAGGCGAGUUUCUCGAACAAAUACUUUUUUUAGGUCUAUGGAAGCUAUUAAAUGUACUGGGUAAGACAGCAUGUAAUGCCUCAAUUUCUGCCUUACCCGCCAAGCAGGUUUUCUCCAAAUUGGUAUCCCUGGUCUUGUAGUCAGUCAUUUUCUUACAUUGGUAGUAGAUGGCCCUUUACUUCCAUCUAUCUUCAUUGUAUUAAGCCAACAUAGACCCCAUAGUGGUUUCAGUGACUGAUAGGUAUAGUAAUAAAGGCUUCCUGGCAUUGUAGGCACUAGAAUAGAGGUAUUCCUUUAUUUUGUCAAAAGCUUUCUCCCAUUUUCCUGCGAAAUUUGGAUUUCAAAAUUUGUGUAUCGGCUCGCAAGUGGUUUAUACAAGAGAAAGUGAAAGUCUGAUGGGACUAUUGAUCGCUACAAGGCUCGCGUGGUAGCCAAAGGCUACAACCAGCAAUAGGGUAUAGACUAUGGUGAGACAUUCAGUCCAGUUAUCAAGAUGGCAUCAAGGGCGAUUAGAGGUGUGACUUGCUUGAUAAGGGAAAGAAGAGACGGCCCUCCACGACGCAAAACAAGUCGAUUCCUACAUUUUUCAAUUCCCAGAAGCUCUUAGCUACUCAGCUAUACUAUAGGCUCUAAAGGCAUUACUUGACUGAAAGAGUGCUUAUAUUAUGGGGCCUUACCUUUCCAACAUCUGACUUAUAUACAGGUCAACGUCAACUUAAGAAGCACGAAAAAAAUUAGCUCACUUGACUGAAAGGACUUAAGGCUAGCUGCCUAUUGCAGGAGUUCCUGUCCUAAAAGGACAACAGCAAGCUGCUACUGAAUGUGAACAAAGCCAAACCAAUAUGAUAUUCAAUAAGCCCACUUUUUUGAGAGAAAAAACCUGAAUUUGUUGAGGAAGAUCAGCUGUAGAGGAAAACCUAUAGUCAAACCGAGAAUAGCAGUCGAAGUUUGCUAAAGAGUCUGGCACUUUAUUGUUUUCUCUAAAUGUAUAGACGAUUUUGAAAGGGCCAGCCGAUAAUUUGGAUGAAAUGAAACUCCACCAUGAGUCUAGGUAUGGGUAAUUUUAGGGGCUUCUUUAUUUUUGUUGAAGCAAUCAACAAUGAUUUUGGAGUCAAUUGCGAGUUUAUGAGCUUGAUGAAUGUAGAGCGCAUCCAUAAGAAUAGAAUCAGUAAACGUCCAAGAUGAUCUGAUGUCAAGAAGCUGAGAACAGUCUUUCAGCCAGUCCGUAAUUUUUGGAAUAAUAGCAGCCGAUUGAGAUAUUAGGUUUUCUAAUUUACUGCUAUUGCCUUCCUUCCAGAGUUCCCAAACUGAAAAAAUAGUAAGCAUAGACGUGACGUAGCCUACUUAGGAUUUCCUAUUAGAUCCGUUAAACCGUCAGGACUGAAUGGAAUCCGUUUGGAAGGAUCUUAUAUUGAAAAGGCAAUCAAAAUGGUUCCAAACCUCCAUAGCAAGCUCACUCUUGAUGAAGAGGCGAUCAAUACUUUAUUUAUCAUGCUCCAAACAGCACAAGUAUUUGCUAGCUAAUCUUAUACCUUUCGUCUAAAUUUAUCCCCUUAACUAAUUCUGAAAUCCCCGCAUACAAAGUAAAAUAAGAGCUUCCAUGCAAAAAUGCUAAUUAUUGUAGGAAUGGCUUUAUCCCAGACAAAUUGAGUCCAAGCUUGAAUGCCCGUUCGAUUUCUUAUCGAUUACUAACCAGCUUUGAGAAUAAAUGACUCACUACGAUUCUUUUUCCAUAUACCCCUGUCCUCCUGAUGAUAUGUGAAUAUACCACUAUUCCUGAUAUCAUAAACCACUCUGUGAGGCAAAAAUGCUUCGAUAUCAUUGAAAAAGCAGUUUCCAUGUGCGUCAAGCACAUCUAUGAUUUUAAAGAAAUAACUAGUAAAGGAGUUGGCCGGGUCAAUAAGAGGGAGUCAUACUUUGGACUGCUUUUUCAAAAGAAACUAUCUGAAAGGCCCUAUGGUUUGCUGCUUCCAAACUUGGUUGUCAGGACUUAGAGUGAAAUCAGUUCUAUUUUCAGGCAACCCCACCAAUACUUAAGGGCCCAAAAUGGUGGAUUGGAAAUAGAGCUAGCACUGAUUUCUGGUUCCACCCCUGGCUCUCUGAUAUUCUACCCCCCUCUUAUUGACCAGGUAAACUUCAUACGAAAAGCUUUUGAAAGCUCUUGAAAAUGUCUUGUAGUAGGAGGACCCAAAGCCCCUUCCUGAAUAGGUAGGCACAUAGUAUCAAAAAAUAUCCAGUGAAGCUUUCUUUUGUCUUCAUCACUGCCUCACCAAAAGUUUGCUAACAUUUUUUCCAACUGGUCAAGAACUCCCUUUGAAACUAGAAUCCCUGCAAAAAGGUGUACAGGCAUCGAGAAAAGAACAUGUUUGCAAAAUCCACUGGAUAACAAUGCUUUCAUCUCCUACCACUUUAUUUUAUACUCUAUCCAGAAGAUGAGAAAUUUGCUUUUUCAGAUUUAAAUAGAGGUAGUCCUAGAUCAAAAUAUUAGGAAUCAAAGCAAGGAAAGUAGCAUUGAUGGAACGGGGGAUCGCACCUUCAGCGAAGAAAUAAGGUCAGCUCGAAGUUUUUGAAAUCCCAACAAUAUUCUUAUUUCUUUAUUCCAUAUUUAGAAGAAGGUUAUUUCCCCUAAAUUUUUCCUGAUAGGCCUCCGCGAAACAUAGAUACCGCACAACUGUAAUACUCAACAGAUUUCUCUAGUCUUUCUUCAAGGAUCCAUCUAUCCUUUUGUUCGAAAAUUGACUUUUAUUAUGACAAAGAUAGACCCUUCAGCCAUUGGACACAAAGAAAGUUUCCUUUUCCAUUAUGCCCUCACACAAGGUUACCCUUAUGAUGCGUAGAUUAAAAUCUAAGUUUCAACUUAGACUCUAAUUGCGCUGUCGCAUAAAACUGAGAGAAAAACAUAUCUAUUAACAUUCAAUCGAGGCUUUUUUUUGAAAUACCCUCCUGAUCACUUACUAUCAGAGCACCAUAUUCCGUGUUAUACUAAACGAAACUGGUACCAUUUGAAUUAUUAGGAGAAUACAUUAUUCUAACUAUAUCAUAGCAACACUCAUUCUUGUUAACAUUCAAUCGGGGCUCUCCACGAGACGUCCCCUUGAUAACAUUUCAUUAUCAAAGCACCAUCUUCUAUUUUAUGCUACACGAAACUGGUACCAUCUGAAUAAUUAGGAAGAAUUCACACAGUAGAAUCUUUUAAGAGGAUCCCAUGGUUGGAACAAAGGACAGUCCAGACCAUCAAAAGGAAAUAUGGUUAACGGACCUAUCGUUGAUCUGUUCUAAUAGAUCCCACCAGGAAUGGCACCGGAUGGAUAUCUGACUGAUUUAACAAUCAGACCAAACCUCCGAGGCUCAUUCCACUCACUUUAUCGGACAUCACGACUCAGUCCGGGGGGGCGCCUAGGUUCCAACCAGGAAUUGAGACGUGACUUAUGACCUCAUCAGGGACUGCCACAGCUUAAUCAGAGAUAGUAAUGGGAUAUUAAAGGUUUUAACCUUUUCAACCCCAUUAACGCUCUAUUUGACACCUAUAGAAUAUUUUAACCACUCAAUAAUGAUUGUCGUUUUAACAUUAUUUUGUGCUCAGAAUAUCCUAUGGGAGAGAGGGGAAAACCUCUAUCCCUUUGGAGUUUUACAACUCUAAAUAAUGUCUUUUGAAAUACUAACAAUAUUUUGUAUAUAAAAAGAAUCUGGAAAGCCUGAUGGCUUUAAAGAAUAAGGGAGACCUUUUUUUGGGUUAGUGCGCGUCGACAUGCUAAAAAUUGCCUUUUAAACUUCUUCCAUAUUAAGAGGGCUGUUAGCAUCUUAUUAUCUUCCUCUGUGACUAGAGAGGGGAUGGUCUCAAGGAUCUCAUCUUUAAGUACUGAACCUUGAGAAGAAAGUAAUAUAUGAAAUAAAUUAAGAGCUUCCUGCCAUAGAGACAAGUUCUGAAUUUAGUUUAAGGUGCUUAUUCUCUAUCUUUGUUCGUAAAGUAGAAGUUUUUCAAGGUUACUCUUGGCCGAAUCUAACUCCAUUUUCUUAUCAGCAGACCAACUCUGUUCAAGAGCAAAUUUUCCUUCUUCGUUUUCAGCAUUUCUAUAUUCUGAAAUAGUUCGCCAAUUCAGUGCUUUAUUUGUUGAGUCAAUCUUCCUGGAGAAGACUUGAAAAGGAUUUCCCAAGCAUGGUUGAGAUCAAUGUGAAAAUAAGAAUGCUGAAUCCAUAUUCUUUGGAAACGAAAGACCCCAGGCCUGUGAGUAUUAUAAUCUUAUAAGGAGAUUACUAGAGGAGAGUGAUCAGAGGAUACUGAUAGAAAAUGGUUGACUCUGGUGGAAGCAAAAUAGCUUUUAUAUAGAAGUGGGCAGUCCCUAUUCAAAAAGGAUUCUAUCUAGUCUGGCCCAGAUACAAUGUUAACCGGUUUGAUUAUUGCUCCAAGUCAAUUUAUUGUCAUUGAAAGCCCAAUCAAAUAAUCUAAAUGAGAAAAUCAUAUCUUCAAAGCUCAUCACUUCAAUAAAGGCAUUGAAGUCAGGAGGCCGACCCCAAAGUUUUUUCUAAUGGAUCUGCAAUUAAAUUAAAGUUCCCCCUACUAUCCAUAGGAAGUUAAUGCAAGUCGAUAGGUCCUUCAAUCAUCGAGUACACUAUCGACUUCCCACACUUAUCAUGACAACAUCACCGAUCUUUGGUGCUUAUGGGGGGCCCUAUCAUACACAUGCACCACCAGAGUCUUCAUAAGAACUCUGGGGAGAGGGCCAAGGUGAACCUAGAUUAAUGAUGAGAAGUGGUCAAAUCAGUAGCAAGGCACCAGGACGGACGGUUGGUUAAACCAGGUGAUAGCUUCACUCUCGCACCCGCAUUAUCUGAGAAAAGCAUAGAAAAAAUUCCCUCAUCCCGACUCAGCUUCUCUCUCUGAUGCCACCAAUAGUCAAUUUAUUAGAGUGCUCCCCUUAAUUGAAUCUCUAAGCCUGCCAAAGACUACCCACUUACAAAAUAGGCCUAAGCCUAUGCCAAUGGACUCAUGAAAUCCAUGCACUGAGUCAUCAAAUAACGUACGUUAUGAAGACCCAAGCCUACAUGCACGGGCCCAUCCCACAAAGUCCUAUAAAUGAAGACUCGUGCCUGUCAAGCCUGCUUUUCUCGAUCCAAGAUCGGUGAAAAAAAAUCAUAAAUUAGAAGAGUUCGAUAAUGGCCAGUCUUUAAAGGCCCUUAAGAAAGAAGCUUAAGUCAUCGAUUCCAAUCCGAUAAGGCUUAUCUUUUUAUUGGUAUGCCGCUCCGCGAGCAAGGAGCGAGCUAAGUAAAUCUUACCUGAAAAUGAGUGAGAUUCGAUUCCUUUUCCUUUGUCCUUUCUGUUUUAUCAUUUUUUUUUCUCUAUGAUUCCAAUUAUUAUAUAAUAGAAACAAUAAGAAUCCCAAAACCUUACAUAAUACGUAUCAUUACACUUGAGUCACAAUUUUGGAGAAAUUUCUAAACAACUAUCAUUUGUGAAUGUAGGUUGUGUCGGGGAAAUACUGUGGCUAGUAAGUCAUUUCGUUUGCAUUUUAUUCAAUGAGACCAAAAACACAGCAAUGAUUUGUUUUAUGGACAGUUAUAUUAUUUCCAGCCCAAAUGGGGGAGUGCCUAAUAUCACCGGGAACGAGUUGGUAGGGGGGCUGAGAUCUUAAGAAUGGAUCAAGGAAAUCCUGAUGCUCCACCAGCCAUUCCUCAUACUGAACAGGCUAUGGGGGAUCUGGAUCUAGCCUUACAAUUGGGGCCGCCGAGCCCAACAAAAGAGGCUCUCAAAAGAGAGCUUUCGACCUUUCUUUCUUCCUUUGGAAAUAGGGAAGUUAGAAGGGAUGUCUUGGAAGGCACAAUAAGGAAACUUGACUUGAACAGCGCGUCCCCAGAAAAGUUUUUUUUUAGGAUCCGACAACUUAUGCAGGAACUUUCCAACAGACCGAUUGCUGCUUCCACAGUGUUGAAGGCUUUAUUGAAAGCUUUAAAAGAGUGGGAGAAAGGGGACGCAUGAGCGUUAGAUAAUAGAAAGAAGGUAGAAUUGCUCGGGAACUAGUGAUUGAUUUUUUUUCUUUUAUAUAGGUAGGGUUACGCAACGAAUCUACUCCUUAAAGUGAAGAAUCAAAAGUCAUCGUUCGUUAGACAAGGCCCACGUGUUGUGCAUCUAUGGUAUUCUGCUCGUGGGGAGAGGGAUAUGGGAAAGUAGGGUCCUCUCACCUGUGCUCAUUUCUAUUUUAGAAGUCAUAUUGGAUUUCCAAUUGGUGCUCAAAAGAAGGGUUCCAAACCUCUGAAAGACGAGGCAGGUUUAACGCUACGCCCUUCCCUUGUUCAAGAGAAAGCGAGGACUUUCUUUUAGCUACCGGACCAAACAAAAGAGAUUAGUCUCUUGAUCGAUCGAUUGAUUGGAUCAAAGUAUGAAGGGGUUGAUUGAAGUCUGAGAUCAGCCCAAGACUAAGGCCGAGCAACUAGCUGCUGCAGGAUUGGAUGUCUAUCUAUCUCACCACUCUCCCCUACUCCUAUAAAGGCCGGUGAAAGAAAUGCUCUACUUAUCUUUCUUACGGCUCAUUACCGCAGGGCUCAUUCACCCCUUCGUUUUCUUCCAUUCAAAAAAAGGUAGUCUUUCCUUGGUAAAAUAGCGUCGUCAAAGUGAAGCAAAGGCAUUAUUGAAGGAAAAAAAUGAUGGGUCGAUCAAUUGUAUUAGGUAGGAGAUGCAGGACCUGUCUUAACCAUAAGUGCAUUCGCUAUUCAAUUCCAUCCUAAAUCCCACCAAUUCCAAAGUGUGUAUCUCUUCUUUACUUUGUUGUGACAAGGGGGGUGACAAAGGGUAUACUUUCUUCUUUAUGUCGCCGUCUCAUCAAUGAGCGUAGAUUAAUAGCCAAGCCUAACCUAUUGUGCUUGUCAAUCUGGAUCCCAUUCUUCAGGUAUAGUUUUCUUUGAUCACAGAUCGACAGGUGAUCCGUCCUUUCUUCCCCUUUCGUCAUAAGGUGUGGUCUGACUCUGAGAAAAGAAAUUCCUGUGUUUAGGUCCCUACUAAGCUAAGCAGAAUUCGUAAACUAUGCAAAGGCUCUUUGAAUACUUUUUCCAAAUUUUUUAGCAAAAAAAGCAAAAACAAUUUUCAACGCUCUUACAAGGUAGUGAUGAGUUAAACUACUCAUGUUGGCAUGGAAGUCAGCUCGGUAAACUGAUUCCAUUCUGCUACUAGGGUUCCAAACCUUCCCCUGAGUUCUAAAAUCUAUAAAUACCUUUUCAACUCAAUAAAUGCUAAAGCUAUUUAGAGUUGGUCUUUCUAACUAAGUUGGAAGGAGGGCUUUAGGCAAAGAGCAACUCGAAAGUACUUUACUUCAGUCCCAGUACUAAAAGACGUGACUUCAGGAGUGGAUUUCUGAAGAAAAGACUUUGUUUACUUCCUGAAAAUUGGUUAUGUAAGAACUAAUAGAAAUAAAGGUGGCCCAAGGGCCACUUGACUGGUUGGAGAUGAGAGACCAUUUCCAUGAGAGAGGGACGAGCAAGUGACAGAUUGGGAAAAAAAUAGGUAGGCCUUCUGAGCGGUCAUUUAGGGGCCUUGUUAGUGACCCAUCAUUCUUCCCUAAGCUGUUAGAGUCCGAUCGAAGCGACCAAGAGAUAGAGGAAUCCUCACUCAUGGAUGUGAAUUGAAAAAGCAAGCCCAAAUUCUUUUAAUUAGGCUCUAUAGACUGGUCCCUGUCCCUGGUAAGGUCUGAUUGUUAUCCGUAAGUCUUGUUUUGACCGCGGGAAGGUGAACUUUGCAAAAGUGCUUAUUUUGUUGGGGAGAAUAGGACUUCUGACUCCAAGCCUACCCUACCCGAAAUUUGCAGCUAUUGAUGUAGCCUCUUGUUGAUACUACUAAUCUUCUCACUGCCUACUAGAAAAAUCCCAUCAAGAUAGAUUGAAUCGAUGACCUAUACUUCAACUAAAUUCAUAAGGGCGUAAGGAGCACAGAACAGAGCUUUUUAGUAGGAUUGAGGCUCGGCCUUUGAAUCCACUUGCCUCUACUUUUCAUGUCAAGCGUACAAGUGACGUUUAGUGGGAUUUACUUCUAAAGACAGGAAUUCUUUUUCAUCUCCCCUGUCAAAGUCGAUGUCUUAACCUGACUUCCUGAGCUCAGUUGAUUCUUGAAGCAGUAGCUCUGGAUCGAGAGCUUGAUGCUUACCUUAUUAUUAUGAAAUGAAAAGGAGAAAGAGCUUUUUUUAUAGAUGUUGAGGUGAGUAAGGGGGGUUUGCUGUCUUGAUGGCUAGCUCAUGCAAUCAAGGAAAAAUGCCUUCACCUUUUUUUUUCAAAAUGAAAAAGUAAACUACCUUAGUAAGCUAGCUUUGGUUGCUAAGCAAGCCGGGCACUACGCUAGGACGUGGAUCGAUUAUGACGAGAAUGGACUUCUCCAUAAUGUAAUGUAAAUGUAAUAGAAGAGGAAGAGUCCAGUUCCCCUCCCUUCUUGACCAAAUGAAGGAGAUAUGAAUUCCAUUUAGGCGGGUCAGGGCUUGGCUUGACCCUGUGUUCUCCCGGGUCGGAGGCAAGAACUUAAAAGUGAAUCAUUCAGCGGUGGGGUGUUCAUAGAAAAGAAGGGGUCACCCAAGAAGUGGCAGAUUUGGAUGGAGUCUCGCUCAUACAGGAAGAGUACGCGCGCUAGCGCGCUACGGCUUACGUAGUUGAUCGGAUCAGAUAGCCCUUCCUUCGGGCACGCAACCAAACCCGGCACAUCCAAUUCCAUUCUGAUCAACAACUUGGAGGUAUGGCUGAGUGGCUUAAGGCAUUGGUUUGCUAAAUUGACAUACAAGAACAUUGUAUCAUGGGUUCGAAUUUCAUUUUCUUCGGUAAGAAAUGAAAGGGGCGGGCGAAAUUACGUGAGAGAAAGAACCUCUUGGUUGAGUCCAGUCCCCUGGAGGACAGAAUAGCACUUCUUAGUGAGACAGAGCGGAGAGCUCGUUGCACCUUGUUUUUUUGCCUAUCUUCUUUCUAUAAGCAAGCUCCCUCCGGCAGUUCCUGCACGGCUCUUGGUUCGUCGAUCAUGUUGGGGGAUUAGGCGGCAGUUGAAAGAGCUGCUCGAAAGCUUGACGAAGAAGCAAAAAAAUCCUAUCUAUUCUAUUUUCUUAGUUUAGUAAAGGGCUUUUCCCUUACUAGUCAAGUGGUAAGGUAGGGCGCUAUUCGAUGAAGAAAACAGACUUUAGAAAAGUGGUUCAGGUAGCUAAGCCGAUUAGAGCAAAAGACUGAAAAUCAUUGUGUCAGUGGUUCGAAUCCACUUCUAACCAGGCGAAAGGUCUAAACUGUAGUUGGGAGCUAGGCGGAUUUCGAAAUGAAAGUGAAAGAGUAAGCAAAUAAAUGUGAGUGCUCCUGCACUAUAUGGACGUCUUUUUGGCAGUAGGGUUGGGGCUUGAGGCAGAUUCAAAAAAAAUGGUUGAUUACUCGGAUUGGUUCACGCAUCCCUGUGCCCAAAAGGAUGGGCGAUUUUGAUUUGAGUGUUCAUCGAUUGGGUGGAUCUAUAUGCUUUGGGGUGGUGAGAUAAGGUGUAGCGCAGUCUGGUCAGCGCAUCUGUUUUGGGUACAGAGGGUCAUAGGUUCAAAUCCUGUCACCUUGAUAUGGAUACAGUAGCCUAAGAGCAAGUCAAAACAACGAGAAGGGCGCGAGAAAUGAAGGUUGAGAGAGAUUUUCAAAUCAAACUUCAAGUUGGUGUGCCGCGUGUUAAGAAGCCAGAGACCGCCCCAUGCUUCGCCCUAAUUCCCAUCUAAGGUUGAAUAAGAUUAGAUUAGUCUCGCUAAAUUCAUUCUCGAAUGAUUCAUCAAUGGAAUUAGGCCUAGGUGUAUAAAAAUUUCUUGUGAUUCCCCUUCUUUCUUUAACGAAGGCAUACACGCACCGAUAGGGAACCCAAAGAAGAGCUAGAAAAAGGAAAGCGGAACCAACACUAAAUAGCUCAAUUUCUUAUUCCUGAGCGGAAGGUACGCUCAGCCCCUGAUACAUUGCUAUUUCUUAAUCCUUGCAUCCAGGGAUAAUGAGUCGGUUGGCUCUUAGAGUAUAGCCUCUCUCAGGGUUAGCGAUAAGAGUACACCGGCCCAUGUAGUAGCGGGAGAACUAAGGAUUUUGUGCUUGCAAGGACGUGUGCAAGUGGGUGAACGCAGCACCAGCCAAGCCAGUCACUUGAAACAUAGGGGUAUUCAAUCCCCGAGCUUCUGGGCCUUGAGAACCGACUUUGGAUUUGCUCCUUAGAUAGUGAGUAGCAAAGAAGGGUAGGGUUUUAAGUUUAGGGUUUUAACUUUCACGUCCCAGCUUAUCGAAGCUACCGUCUAUCGAUGGAAAUUUCCCUCCUCAGUCGGAGGCGGAACCGGCUCCCCCUGAACCAUUCUUGGAAGAGUAAGGAAAGAGAAGGGGACGGGAGUUUCUCGCCUCCUAAGAGUAUAAAGAAGCAAAGUGUCACCCCAACAAACUAGACGCAUGUAUCAAGGCAUUCUGCCAACGAGCGAAGGCGAUCGCUCAAGAAAAGAGAUUCAGCCCCGACAAAUGAGAUGCAGUGAAAGACGCUGCGGACUAUGUGGCCGGUGACGUAAAAGAUAUGCCGAAAGCUAGCCAACUCUGCUUCCUAACAAGGUUAAGGCGUGACCUAUAAAACGGAAAUAGCGAGACCUGGGGUCUCAUCGAACGUAAAGUUCAAAGAUGGAGACCAGGUUCGACAUGAAAUCAUAAAGGUUUGAGGGCCCGUUGGUCAAAGAAAAGGGAAGGUCCUACUUCCGGAAUGGAGUCUUAUAAUGCGAGAGUGUCACGUAUAGUUCCUUUGAUAAGGGUGUGAUACCACCACCUAUCAGGCCCGACGAGCGGUCCACAGAGCUGCAUCCCUACUCACCUGGUCUAUGCACAUCGCUCUCCCCAGGAGGUUGCCCGCCUAUCCUAGAUCUUCCCAUUUCCAAGAAGAUCCCAGAAUCGAUCUGUUUUAGUAUAAAGGUAAUUCUUUUUCUGUUCCUAUAUAUAUGGGUCCGUGCAGCAUUUCCACGAUAUCGUUAUGAUCAAUUAAUGGGACUUGGCCGGAAAGUGUUCUUGCCUCUAUCAUUAGCUCGGGUAGUCCCCGUUUCUGGUGUUUUAGUCACCUUCCAACGGCUCCCUUAAUUAUGUGCGAGGAAUUGCCCUAUUUAGUAAUGGGAAGCAAGAUAGUCCCCGAAAAUGCCCCGCCCGUAAGUUCCUUUGUCGUUGGGGAAAAAAAAGAAGUGAUGCUCAAAAUCCCUGUGGAUAGGUUCAUCCAUUUUCGGUAGACAGGGAAUUUGAUGAAGUAGACAUUGGAUUGGACAGCGGCAAAGAGGGGCCUGAUCCAGGAAUGUCGGGAGCUUGCCCAAGGCCCGAAAUGCACAGAUGCAAGAAGAGAGGGUAAAUAGUCGAUUCUCGAUGCGAAGAAGAGCUCUCUUUCACAAGUCCAGUGGUCGCUUGUUAAGGUAGUUUGCAACCUUCAUUCUUAGAGUACAAGAAGUUGGAUGCGACUUAGCGGUCUAUAGAAGAGAGUGUCAGAUAUGAGAAAGAGAUAGACUGAGAUCUUGACAUUGCCGUUAAAGUAAGAUGUGGAACUCUUUUCUCCAACAUGUGGUCACACAAGAAGGUUGGAGUAAGCUAGUCGUACCUGCACUCCUAAAGGUUGAGAGCUUAUUUAGAGCAAUAAGAGUUAUCGAAAGAGCAAACUUCUUCAACAAUCGCUAUUUUUUCUUACAGCUAACCAUGAAUAGCGUUCAGAGUUGAUUCUGUAACAACAACAGUGAGGAUACUGCGCCAGACUAAUAGCCAUACUCCACUCCACUCCGUCUAUUGCUCCUAUAGGUUCUGCGAAAUUGAAACUCCUUUUAGAUAGCAAAGAAUCAUUUUUGUGUCCCGCCAAGCCAAGGAAAGAAGGCAAGGUGCCCUGGGAAAGGCUCAGACUAGUUUCAAGGUCAAGGCAAAAAGCUUAGUCAUUUUCAACUCAGAGUUUCACCGUGCAUUGAUUCAUUGAGAGCAGACAAUCACUAAGAAGACUUAAGGAUAGGACGUGAGAUCCACUACUUACGUGUCCAUCUAUCUGAGAUUCAAAUCUUUCUAGUUUGAUGAAACACUCUUAAAUCUAGAAAGACUCUUUCUGACUAGACAGUCAGAUCUUUCAUGUAGUGGUGCAUAGACUUUUGCUUCAUGUGGGAUUUAUCUGAGAAUCAACUGAGUUCAACUUCACUCAAGGGCAAAUGCUUAACAUCACUAGUUUAGUGCCUUGUACAUAAGAAGAAGGACGACUGAAAGCAACUUGAUGACUUCUUCCCCUAGUUCGAAUACUGGCUACCAGCAGGCUUGACUUGCCCAUCUCCUCAUGAUUGAAAUUGAAUUCAACUGGUCUUCUUUCUUCGGUUGGCGUUGCGCUUUCUCACCUGUCGCUCACUCAGAUUUUCUAGACACUUGUCUCUACUCAUCUGGGCUGCAUGACAUCGUCUGGCGAGAAUUCCGCUUGCACUACAUUUUCUGCCGAUAACCUGAGCUUACAAAUCAUUGUAGUAGCCUUCGGCUACCAUCAGAUUCGAUCUCAACAAUUGAACAAUGAACCAAGGACUCUAAUAUGAUUUGUUUUUAGGUAACCUGUUGCUCGAGGUGGGACUUGCAAGCUACCUUGCUUAUACCGUUGCCUUGCUUGUGCUACCUUGCCUCGCACGCAAGCAACCAUUGCAAGCAACUCGCCUUGCUUGCUCUAUGCAACCUCAGUCGACACUUAUCAAACUCGACUCUCUUCUUAUAUAGAAGACACUAAUAGCGCGGUGGUCCCGCCCUCUUCUGUUGGUGAAUCUCCUUGCUAUUGUUGUUUUAAAUAUAUAUCCCAUUCCUGCCCGUCCUACGGCACAUGCGGUACCAGCUCUUAUUCUUGAUGUGGCUCUUUCAAAAAUUGCAAAAAAUAGUAUAGAUUCUCUUAUUCUUUCUUCGGUAGCUGUGGAUGCGCUUUACUUCUUUCUGAGUAUCCCAGUGCAACUGUCUUGUUCAAACUAUGGAUCUUAUAUAGAGAAAGAGUAUGAAAGCCCAUCUGCGAUUGCCAAGAGAAGGGAACUGCCCAUUUUGGGAACCAUUGAAGGCCGCCAUCAACUCCCAUCCGAAGGGGCACCAGUUCUUCAUUUAUUUCUUCCUCUCCUGCCCUUCGCUGGAUAGAAGCUAUCAAGCCCUCCCGAUCAUCGAAGCUCAGAAGCAGUAAUCCGUAUCUCAAAAUAAAUCUCUUUCUUUUGUCCUUUAGGUUUCCCUCAACUUUAAAUCCAUCUGCCGCCCCCGUAUACUCUGUUUUCGGAGAGCCGAAACCAGGGACGGGAUAUGAGGCCACCUCUCCUAGUCUCAAUUGGUAUUCCCAUCAUUCAGUGAAGGCUCGAAGCCAUCUCCAUUCAUCAGAAACUAUCAAUUAUGAGUCCAGGGCAGGCUAACCACCAGCAUCUUAUCUCUUUUCAUCCUUUUUGGUGGCACUAAUAGAAAGGAAGUACUUGCCAAUGAACCUUGACUCUCUACUCUCUCCCAGCGUCUCUACUCUUGCCCAGUGAAUCAAGAAAUCUAGUGCAGUCAAGAAAUGCAUAAUUUGGAUUGGAAUCUCGGGAUUGAGAGACAAAUAUUCGCCAGGUCCGAUAUUUGAUCAUUUGCCGCUCACUCGCUUCUUUCUGCACUGGAUCGAAUCAAUUAGAUGGGUCACUGGUAACGGAUUAGCUUAUUUUCUACUCCGAUACCGCUCCGUACCCCUCGAAAGAUUGAGGAUACAUCCUAGGUUUUAUUGCUAGGUCAAGGGGAACCACCUACUACUGAACCUGUGGACGGGAUCAAAGAAUCAAUCAGUGGAAUUUUUAGGCCUUAGCCCUUCUUCUCUUUUCCCUUAUCGACCAUUCCUUAGCCUUAAGAACAACCAAACCACUGGUCAAUCGACCAACAGUGAACCAAAUCCGCAUUUUCAAUCAAUGAAUCUAAUUCAAACUCUCUCAGAAAGCUCGUGGUUCCAGAACCGGCUAGCCGAACCAUCCAUACAAACCAUCUCCCAACUGGAAAUAAGACCUGGUGGAGCAGCUUAGCCAUCCAUGUCGUUCCCCUCUUACCCGCAUCUAAACCAUCCUUUCUUUUAUCUCAAUCUCUCGCGAGGGUAGGUUUUCCAUCAAGACUCAAAGUUUCUAAGGAUCCAUGGAAAUCAACGGCUUAGCGAGCUAAGGUUGAGUGGAGAAAAAGAUGGACUCGACUUCUCUUCUUGCUCGGAUGCAGACAUAGAUGGAGAGUUUAACUGGUUCAUAAAAAUAGAGAGUUGGAUCCGUAUCAGAAGGAGGAUCAGGAGAAGAAAGCAGGCAGUGUAUAAAGGGAGACUGGGAAAGAGCAGGGCUUGAACUUCCAAUUCAAGCUCACAGGAUAGAAAGGAUUCCUUUGAACGCGUCAUUGAUAGUUCCAUGUAGUCAAGUUGAUGGCACAGAUUUAAUCUGCCUCUACUUCCUUAAUAUCAAUGAAUAUACAACUUGAACCCCCAAACCCUAAUUUCGAAAUGUCGUAAGUGAUAUUCGAAAUCACUGAAUGUGUACUGAUUGCCGCUUGAGUAGGUAGGAUAAGUCUUGGAGUCACCAUUGGGGUUAUUUAGAUUCUACCAACCCAAAAGCUAUUCCACGGGUUAGCCACCUCAUCCAAUAUGUCAGUAGCCAUUCUGACAGGCAGUAGACACUACUACUACUGAAAGGGUAGUCAAUCUUGCUUAAUUACACUUUUACUUUGCCACAUCAGUACGAGAAGCUGUACAUUGGUGCGCGGUAAAAAAGUUUGAGAUUUUAUUUAAGAAUUUUCUAUUAAUAAGCGUCCCUAUUUUUUGGAUAGGAUAGAGAAUGUGCAUUCCCUAGGGGAACUAUAGUCUAGGUCAGAGCUGAGUUAAUCAUAGCUUUUGAUCCAUAGGAUAGGAAAAAGGGAGGAGAAUAAUAAGAAUAAGUUUUCCAUAAAGAGCUCACGAGACUCCCCAUACGAAGAAAAGAGCGACCCGCCAGAUUCGAAUUAGCAUAUAGAAAAGUGGAAUCCGUUCUAAAUUCCCCUAAUUUCUUUCUCUCCUGUCAUGAGGAGUCGCUUUGGUGACGCAGUUCGGCAAAUCCCACCUACAUCUGCGGAGCCGAGCAGGAAGAUCCAAAAUAUUAGGUGGCCCACGGGCAUAGAAGAAAAGAAAUACAAUUAAAAAAUAAUUGUAUGACCGAUAGUAGUACAUGGCUGACUUGGAACAAAUUAUUGAAAACCAUAAAUGAGUUUUAUAUAUUCGAAAGCCUGCUCCCAAUAGAAACUAUAAAAUCCACACUCUAAAAGGUUAGUGUAGACAUCAAAUAGAUAAGAUGGGUCUAGCACGUGGAAAUUCUCUUUAAUGGAAUUUUAGCCUUAGCUGGCCAUGCCCGAAGUCCUUACCUUAAUCGUAAGGAGGGGGAUGCCAAAAUAAAAUAAGGAUUCAAUCCAGCCAAUGGUUCCCCUAUGGCUACCUUGUAAAGUUGUGAAAAAGCAAAGGAAGAAUGGUUAUAAACAUCAUCGACCUUUCAUUGAUCUUUUGCACCUCGACCGUUUGCCAGUCGAUCAACCAAGAAAUGAGUUAGUCGAGGCAAAAUGACUGAAAGAUCUCUGACGUCAUCAAAAUGCCUCCCUUAUACAUGAACACAUAGCCAAAGAAGAAGACACUUUACGAUGAUCCCCAGAGUUGUGUUCGCUAUUCUAAAAAAGAAAGAAAGAGAUUUUUUUGAGAUUCUCAAUUCUGCCUUUUUUCAUCCCAUGCUUUCUGUUGGUCAACAACUAACUAAAGUGCUCUAUACUUCUUCACUACUCGUACAGGCUUAACGGAGUUAAGCUGUAUUGAGGGAAUCAUUUUGUCUCAAUCAAUCAAGAAUGCCUCAACUAGAUAAAUUCACUUAUUUCACACUAGAUCUAGCCCAGUUCGUCUCCAGCCCACUUGAACAAUUUGAAAUAAUCCAUUGAUUCCUAUGAAAAUAGGAAACUUAUGUUUCUCAUUCAUAAAUCCGUCUUUGUUUAUGCUACUAACUCUCAGUUUGGUCCUACUUUUGGUUUAUUUUGUUACUAAAAAGGGAGGAGGAAACUCAGUACCAAAUGCUUGGCAAUCCUUGGUAGAGCUUAUUUAUGAUUUCUUGCUGAACUCGGUAAAUGAACAGAUAGGUGGUCUUUUCGGAAAUGUUAAAUAAAAUUUUUCCCCCUGCAUCUCGAUCACUUUUAAUUUUUUGUUAUUUUAUAAUCCCUAGGGUAUGAUACCUUAUAGAUUCACAGUUACAAGUCAUUUUCUCAUUGCUUUGGGUCUCUCAUUUUUUAUUUUUAUUGGCAUUACUAUAGUGGGAUUUCAAAAAAAAAUGGGCUUCAUUUUUUAAGGUUCUUAUUACCUGCAGGAGUCCCACUGCCAUUAGCACCUUUUUGAGUACUCCUUGAGCUAAUCCCUUAUUGUUUUCUAGCAUUAAGCUCAGGAAUACGUUUAUUUGCUAAUAUGAUGGCUGGUCAUAGUUCAGUAAAGAUUUUAAGUGGGUUCACUUGGACUAUGCUAUGUAUGAAUGAUCUUUUAUAUUUCAUAGGGGAUCUUGGUCCUUUAUUUAUAGUUCUUGCAUUAACCGGUCUGGAAUUAGGUGUAGCUAUAUCACAAGCUUAUGUUUCUAUGAUCUUAAUCUGUAUUUACUUGAAUGAUGCUAUAAAUCUUCAUCAAAGUGCUUAUUUUUUUAUAAUUGAACAAAAGCGAGUCUGAAUGGGUAUACUUAGUCAUGGAGCAUUUCGAGUCUUUGCUUUAGGGAUCGUUCCUGCGCAUCUCCUUACUUUAUAGCAGUUAUUGCUCCGAUUCCAAAAGGUAUAUAGCUCUCGCCUCAGCUUUUUCUUUGAAAUUGGAGACUGUUCCAAUUUUCUACUGAGAUAGGCAAGCGGAGGAGAACUAGACGUAUCUUGCUAGGCAAAGACAGGUUAGAAUGGAUAGCUCACGGGUAGGAUUGACGGGAUAGAUCACUAUUGUAGAAGGAGGUAGAAUCGCGGGAAGAAUUAUGGCUAUAAAGGUCCUCUCCCUCUUAGGCACAUGGUUCUAAAGAUUUAAUCUCAAAGCGGUACUAAAGAUUAGGCAGAAGAAGAACUAGAACUCGAAUUCUUUGCCCCUCCCCCUGUACCAAGAAGCAAGUUCAGAACAUAAGGAUAAUGGGCUCGUCUAUUAGAAGUUAUUAGUUUACAGAACUAUCUCAGAUAUCUCGAGUAAGGAGAUAGGAUGGGUUUGAUAGUUAGAGUUCUAUUUCUAGAAAGGAAGAGACUAUCGGGAAGCUCACUCUCGACCGGGCUCGAAGUAGAGGGUAGAACAUAAUAUCUCUUGUUGGUUCAGCUCAUCAAGCUAUUACAAAAGAGUCAUCAAAGAAAGCAAGCAGCAAGUCGUUCUAUGCAUAGCAUACUCUCUCAGUUCUUCUCCUUUUAUGACCGAUCGAAGGGGAAUGGGCCAACUCGAAAUAGACCAAUUUGAGAAAAGGGUCAAGAUAUGGUGCUGCGGUCAGAAUAAAGAAUCCUUUCUAGGAGGGUAAUGCAAAUUGUGAUAUAUCUCAAUAGUUAACGGAAAGGAAUAGGCGAGAGGAGAAGUGUUGUUUGCAAGCGAACCCAAUAAUGCCACGAGGCAGAGAGCCUUUCGAUGAAGCCUGCACCCACUGGGAAAAAAAAAUAAUAUACCUUGCCAGAGUUUCCCCAUAAGGGGUCUUAAACAACAUAAGAAAAAGCUUCACCAACUGUUUUAUCCACAAGAAUGUCAUAAAGGUUCACUCUGGUCUUCCUUAAAAGGACAGCUUUAGAGCACAAGUCAAACUCAUGAUAGACGAGCAAUCACGCGCACAUGGUUUAGCGGUUUGCUGUGCUCUGUGAUCUUAUUCUUCUCUAAGACCCGAUGCUUCAUCUGCUUCUUUAGUUUAGUAGGACUUCAAACACUCUAUUUCAUGAAAGAUUUCCAAUUUUAUUGCUAUGGAUCCGUUGGAGCAAGCGGUUAAGGCCAGGGGUGGAAGAAAUGGGGAAAUGCCUCUGCCAGGGAGGUAUAGAGCUUCUAACCACGUGUACCAACUAUCUAGGGGAUAGGGGGUAAAUCAGCUCAUAGAGAGAACUGAGAACUAGCACUUAAACUAUAGGGAUAGGGGGCAGAGCGAGCGUUAAAGAAAAAGCAAAGCUCUCAGCAAAGUUGUGGAUAUCUAAUUGGAUAAGGAGCGGAAUCUCCUUUUGAUUUGGAAGGUUGAUAUAGCGGAAAUUCCAGUUUUCCCUAAACUAGAAAAAAUGAGACAACGAAGUCGCGAUGCCUACCUUACCAUCUUAGUCCAAAUAAGGGUUCUAAGGAGGAAGUGGAUCAUCAUCUGGCCCAAUAGACUCUAUCUUCCCCCUCAAACCUAGUUCUUCCAAUAGGGCAUACCCUGCUUUAUCAUCAAAGAGAACGUUCUCAUUCUUUCUUAUGAAAAUAUAAACCUCGUAGACAAAUCUAUGAAAUUCUAUACCUGGAAACCUUUUAGGAAACUGACUAUCAAAAAGAUUCUUUAAGGCUAUAUCGAGUAAAACCCGAGUGAUAUCACCCGCAGGUGGUAUCCCUAAACCGCCACUGCUUGUAUAGAUGCGGAUACCUCCCAAAUCUUCAAAAAUAGUGAGGCUAAGAAAAGAUAAAAUUAGUCUAUAAACUGAUCCAUCUCCAACUAAAGGCUUUACCCACAAUUUGAUCAUAGAGGAAGGAAUUUGUCUUAUUGAUUCUCCCAAGUCAAUCCUGUACAGUCUAUCUACCCUUUCCUCUUGUUGAAGACAAGAAUAAAAAGAAGGAAGCAGACAAUCUAUUCGGUAACCUUCUUCCGGCAUCUCACUACGAUAAAGACGAAGUAGGGUUAUGGAUAGCCCUAUUAAGACCAAUGCAUCCUCUUUGCUAGAGGGCAUAAUUACAUGAAUUAUAUCUUCUCCACCGUCUCCCGUAAUAAUAAAUUCUAGCCGCUCAGGUAUUAACCCCUUUAAAAAGUCCUUUAGAUCUCUCCCCAUUACUCGUUUUAUUUCUAGGGGUGAUAGAACAUAUCCCCCCUGAUAAUAAGAUUUUGCAUAUGAAAGAGUCUGUCGAGAGGCAUAUCCAUAAAUGGAGGAUUUUGACUCUAAACGAAGGAAUCUGAGCUUUAUCAACAUUGAUAAACUUUCUAGCUAAUGCAGGCAUCUGGUGAAACUCCUCGAAAGUGCCAGAAAUCUCCUCAUCAAUGGUAUAAUUAGCUAGGCUAUCUGCCACAGCAUUUCCUUCCCUGUACACAUGAGAAAAUCGAAUUUAUUUAUCCCUCAACAAUGUAAUAAUUUUCCUGACCAUUGUAUCAACAGCCCAGGGUACAGACACCUCUUGUAUCAUGAUCAGUCUAGCAAUGUUUGAAUCAGUCUCAAUCACCAUAUUUAUAAAGCCUUUAUGCACACAGAUUUCAGAAAGUAACUGAAUAGUUAUUAUCUCUAAAUACAUAUUAGUUUGAACGUGUAGCAGCACACAAAAAAUCACCAGCAGCAUAUCUAAACACCACAGCAUCACCACUCUUACCUGGAUUACCUCUUGAUGCACCAUCUGUCUUACAUUGAAGCCAUUUUCCACUAGGUAAUUCCCAAUAUACUCUUCUAUAAUGCAGCCUGGGGAUGUAGCUCUCCAACUCACUAACCAAUUCAGGCCAAUUAGAAGACAAUCUUUUCAUCUUAGGAAACCUAUACACCAGUAAAUUAUGUAGAGUUGCUGAAACCUGAGAAAUUAGCCUAUUCAAGAAGAUAUUACCACCAUACCUUCUUUUCUUUCUCCUCUUCCAUAGCUCCCAAACAACUACACAAGGCAAUGCUUGAUAUAAGGGCUUUAGAUAUACAUUUUUAGGGUGUUUCCACCAUCUUUGAAAUACCUGUUGUAAGCUAACACCAUGUGUAAGUCCUACACCCAAGGAAAAGUACUGUCAUACCUUAUCAGCACAUUGACUCUUCAGAAAAAAAUACUGCAUGGUUUUUACUGUUGGUCGAUUACAACACCAAGACCUUGAGGGCUUUAUAUAUCCAAGUCUUGUCAGAAUGUCAUCCAAAGGAAGUUUGCAAUGUCACACUCUCCAUGAGAAGAAAGAUAUCUUAAUUGGCAACCAUAACGCUCUAACGCACAUCGUUAUGGCGCUUUGGAACACUGCCGAUUGCCACCUCUUGCAAGCAACCGUCGGUCACAAAUAGGAAUAAUCAUACGCUAUCAUAGGCGCUUCUAAUUUCUUUAGAGAUUCUUAAAGCACCAUGCGCUGAAAUCUACCUAGCUACUUACUACUCUACUUAACAACAAAUCUAGCAUGAAAUGGAAUUCAAAUUGGUCUAGAAAAAGAACCGUGCUAGUCGGAAUUUGGGGAAAGAUAGAGAGAUCUCUAGGCUCUCCUAAUCAAAUUGAGAGUUCGCUUUGCCAGUCCAUGAAUAUGCCGCACCCAGCAGUUCGAGGAGUUGUCCAGAUACGGGUCGAAGCCCUGCCUUGAAAAAGACAGGACUUUUGGGUAGAUUCCAGUAUCCGACCCAUCUCUUUCUGUCGAUUCCCCUGGUUGUCGAAAUCUCUGGUUCGAUCAGGACCAGGAGUCCCAUUCAUUCGUUUAUGAGAGCGACUCUCUGUUCCCAUUCUCCACUGGGUCAUCAAGUGAUUAUCCAGCUCAAUCCAUUUUUCCAUCCGAUGAUCUUCACCCUAGGACUGACUCUAUUUGACCUGCCUUGAUUGCCUAGAUAAUGCUACCAUCGCAAGCAACCUCUCAAAGAAUAGGGAGUGAACGACCCUUCUAUCUAGAUCGGUGAUUCCGUUCGGCCGAGCCAGCUAUUGAAAGUCUUGCAAGCAACCUACACUAAGCUAAGCGAGCUAGGAGAUAAAGUGAAUCUUUUUUGGCAUCUUUUUCUUUGCUUUGACUGCGACUUUGUUUGGUCUUCCUCUUUCCUUCGGCCCAUGUUUCAAAGCUAGCAAAAAGUUUGAGUCUUUGGGAUCUCUCUUGAACGACGGUCGGUCAGUCCUUUUCUUCUAUUGAUACUGAGACUGAUGCUUUGACUGUCUCCCAUAUCAUUCGAUAAUAAAGAUCCACUACUUGCUUUGUCGACGCUAAACUCAGUACCUCGCUUCCUUAUUAGUACACCUACUAGACCCAUACUCAUUACGAAUGUGUUCACCAGACACCUGACUUAGCAACCUUCUACUUAGACCGGCAAUAAUAAGGAAGGAGAUCUAUGGAUAAUGGGAUAUAGAAGUCAGGUAUGACGGUCAGCUCAGUCAGAGCGGAAUCAUUCAGGCAAGGUUAUCGUCAGACAAUGUAGUGCAAGCAACGGGUAGCGCUUGCCAUAUGAAGAAGGCAACUACAAUGGGAGACAAAGGCGACGUGGGCUUUCCAUAUAGAUGUAGAACUUGCAAGGCAAUUCAGAUGACGUUAGCGAGAUGUAGCGCUAACUAGGUUAGGGUAGCGCUUGCCAUAAAGAAGCUAGCCAGAAAGCAGUUCAGGCAGGCGAACGAUAGUAUAAGUAAGCUAACACGCGAGCGAGGUUGAAGGGGUCUUGCAUAACCUUCGAAUUAUUGCAAGCGCAACCUUUGACCCCUUCGUCGACAACCUCUCAUUUGUUCGACUACUCACGAGGCCUACUGCAUUUAGGUAUAAGAAGCCCCACCCCAGAAAAGAGUGUAAAGCAGUACUUAUGUUAAAUUGUGUCCCUUGUAAAUGAAAGAGCUCAUGCCAUAAAUUACUAAUGAAGAUUGAAUCCCCAGUCGCUGACAAUUGAGCGUGGCAUUCCAUACAAUGAAACUAUCAGUCAAUGAUGUGUUCGUUGCCAAGGUAGAUCUUUUUAUUUGCCUUGAAAGAUAUUGCGUAUAAAGAGAAAGAUAGCCAGUCCUCUUGGGCGGCCGAGAGUGUUAUGUAAAAAGGACCAAGGAGGAUCCUAUCCGUCAGGAGAAGGAGGAGGAGUAGGAGCUAGCCUUAGGGGCGGAAUCGAAUGAUUGGGAGAUUAACAAUGAGACAAAGGAGAGCACUUAGACGAGUCAGCCAAAAAGAAAGACCACCAAAAGUAACGACCACCAAGAUAGGUAUAGUAAUUUGAUCUUUUGAUCACCCAUUUUUGGAAAACCAUUUUUGGGGGCUUCCGCCUUACACACGGAAGAUUGGAUUGCCUGAAUCACGAGUCUUAUAUACUAUGUUACGAUCACCUCAUAUUGAUAAAUAGUUCAGAGAACAAUUUUGGAUGAAAAUCAAGAAAGAAUUUCUGGUCAUAAAAACAGAAAAGCAUGAAUUCCGCAAGAAGUUCUUUCGGUUAAAAUGUCGUACGACUCGGAGGAAAUAAGACUUCUUAGUCAAGCUAAAAAGAUUUCCGACUGGAUGAUCCUACCCCACCAUGCAUGGCCCUUUAUAUUACCUUAAGAAGAAAGAGGAGGUAUGAAGCGUGGGACAAAAUGCAAGAAGUGUAUGAUACAACAGAUAACCUUAAAGAGUGGCGGCAACCCUUUUGAUUGAUCAACACGAGUGAACUGUGCUUAGACGCUUCGUAAAACCACACCGAUCUAUGAUAGGAGCUGAUAGAUGAGUAGGCUUCCUCUUUUGAUUUACAGAAUAUGAUCUAGGAUACGAUGGGAGUUUGCGUGUCUCGGUAGGAAAGAUAUCACUGGAGUAUAGCAUAAGAUCGCCUUUUCUUGCUGCCAUGGGGUCGACCUGUGAACAAGGUAAACCCAAUGAGAACCAAAAAAUGGGGGAUACCGCAUUGGGCAGAAGACGAUCCAAAAAGUGAAGGCUCACCCAACUGAAAGAAGGGGGUGAGAUAGGCAAGAGGUAGCUUGCUUCCAAACCAGCCCGGCUGCAAGGAAUCAAGAGAGCUUUGCCGAUGCUGACUUGGAUCUUGGGUGAUGGAAUAAGGCAGCCAGAAGAGACGAGCAGUCGCGGUCGAAGCUUGGCUCUAGCCGAUAGGCUAGAAGUAAGCUUGGAUACAGCAAAGCACUUACCAAGCGUGAUGGAAAGGGACUUCGCCACUUAAACCGUAUGCGGGGAAACUCGCAUGUGCAGUUCUUAGGGGGGAGAGAUAGUAGGAGCCAUCCCAUCCCAAUAGCGUAUAUUUGGAGCUCAAUAAAUCCCAUUUUCUUGCAAGACCCAUUCGGAUAAAGGAAAACUCCAGAGAUUGCUUCGAAAUAAGAUCCUUAUGUUGACCCUUUCCUAAACCAGAACCAGGGGAGGAUGAGAGGUAAAGGGGUGAACAACCUCUGUUCACCUGUGUCGGUUUGGGAUACGGUCAGUUCCCCAGCCAAGGAGACUAUCCUUACACAUUCGAUCUCUCCUAGUGCUUAGUGGGCCAAGUGUAUUUUAGUUAAUCUACCCAUUUUACGACCGCUUUCUUAUUAUCCCUCGCUUGUAGUGACUGAAUCUUGUUUCUGAUAUAGCACCAUUGAUUGGUCUAUUGCCAAAGUAAACUCGAGAAUUAAAGAUUUUGUUCUGUCUGGAGGACAUUUAUUAUGCUAUCACUACUGCUUGUCAAUUUGAAUUGCAUCAAAGCUCUCGUUCGAACUUCAUCUAUGAGAAUUCUAAACAAGAACUCGAGACAUGAAAUAAAUCCAAGUGGAGGUUCUUUCUCAGGGCGUAAGGCAUAGCACGCAAAAGAUAGCCAGGAAAGACAAAGACAGGAUUUUUUAAUAAAAAGCGGUGGAUGAGCAGUAAUGGCUGGGGAAGGGAGCAAGUACAUCCUUUUGUUCUCAGUUCGUAGGAAUUGUUUCCAUCACUAACCAGUUCAGCUCAAAUAGUGGGCUUUUGUGUUCGUACCUCGAAUCCGGACCUGUUCGACAAGACCAGAUCCAUCAACAAACCUAGGUCCAAUAUUUUUUUGUAUGAGCUAGCCAUCAACAGAUGGACAUCUUUUUACCACAGUCUUCCCCUAUUGGGCAUAGCCUUUUCUCCGUUAGGCUCCUGUAAGGGUGGGUAUGAGAGAAGGGUCCCCUUCUCCCUUGUCAAAGCUUAGUUAUCCAUGAAUGAGAACUCAUUUUGCUUGUUGGCAGGUAGCUCCAUGGUUGGUUAGUUCGAAAGUUAGUUUUUACUCUUCGAUAGUCGAGAAAGAAAGGUGUGAUUACCUGAGGUGAGGUUGCCCUUCUUUCUGCCUUAGAAGAGGUAUAGUUUAGGUCAGUACUUUAUUCUAUUUUUUGAAUAAAUUUCUUUAAGGAAAUAUCUAUGAACUUAGCUCGGACUAAAUCCGCAUCCGCCUCUGUAGCUCUUCUAUAAGAGCGGACCUUUUUCCAGUCCUAUUCUUUUCUCUUAAGUUCCUUUUGAAACACCUCAUGUUGGGACGUCUACACCUUUUUCUAUUUUGAGACGACCACAGGUUUCACUAAUCCUGCUCUAUCCAGUUUGAGGUCGUCUGAACCUACUACCCUGCUCCAAAUUCCACUCUGCUCCUACAUCAAAUUCAUUCUCCUCCGUAGCUCACGUUCAUGGAGGGAGACUUUCCAAACGAAGACUCCAGGUUACUGAAAUGAACACAAGGCUUUAGCAAGCCACCCAAUGUAGGAAGAAUUACCUCCCAUCCGUUCUAGCUACUCCACACUGGCCUUAAAAGCGCCUACUUUUCUUUCUUCACAGAGAUGUAUAAAGUUUGAUUAAAUUGCGUAUAGAGACAUGCUUUGUUUUGUAAAAAGGGGACAUAGACCCUUCCUCGUAGACUUGCCCCCAUUGAUUUGCCCUCGAGUAGCUGAACUAGGGGAACUCAAAACUAGCUACUAGGAAAAAAAUCCCACUAUUUGAACAUCAAGCUUGUGGACAAGUUGCUUCCCUUUCUGUGCUUUUACGCUGGCCUCUUCGACCUUUCUUGGGUUCACUAGAAAUGUCAUCAAAGCUCUCUCUUCCUAUCCGACCUAAGGCAGCCAUCAAACCCUAUCGGAUAGAAUUUUACUAUAACCGGCUGAUCUGUUUACCCGAGUUAGACCCUAGCAUCUUACCAACCAUCUUCAGUCCCUACCCCCAUCUUUAUCUAUCCCGUCACGAGCAAUCGAAUGACUUUUGGGAAAUGUGAAAGAAAUUUUCUAACCGAU
rnacentral:lncRNA from 1 species